ACUUCAAGUUUCAUUGGCAAAAAGAAUGCUGAUCCCAAUGCGGGCUCCUUGAGAGGCUUUGAUGUGAACGACACCAUCAAAUCUCAAGUUGAGCGCGUGUCCAAAUGUGGUGUCUUGUGCAGACAUCGUGACUAUUGCUUCUCGUGAUUCAGUUGUUGCGCUGGGUGGGCCAUCAUGGACGGUGCCAUUAGGGAGAAGAAGAGAUUCGACCACAGCGAGUUUAAGUACUGCCAAUAGUGAUCUCCCUGGGCCUGCUUCAAGCUUGAGUAACCUAAUAUCUGCCUUCGCAAAAAAGGGCCUCAAUACUAAGGAAAUGGUGGUCCUUUCUGGUACGUUUAACAGCUAAUCUCGUUAUUAAUUUUUCUUAAUUAAUACGUCCAGGGGCAUUUUCGUCAUUUCAAAUAUAACUCUUCAUUUUAUGGUAGUGGAAAAAGGAAGGUAAUUCGCAGUAGUACACACAUAUUGUAUUUUGUGCGGCCUA